rnacentral:rRNA from 1 species
AACGAACGCUGGCGGCAGGCUUAACACAUGCAAGUCGAACGCCCCGCCAGGGGAGUGGCAGACGGGUGAGUAACGCGUGGGAACAUACCCUUUUCUACGGAAUAGCUCUGGGAAACUGGAAUUAAUACCGUAUACGCCCUACGGGGGAAAGAUUUAUCGGGGAAGGAUUGGCCCGCGUUGGAUUAGCUAGUUGGUGGGGUAAAGGCCUACCAAGGCGACGAUCCAUAGCUCGUCUGAGAGGAUGAUCAGCCACAUUGGGACUGAGACACGGCCCAAACUCCUACGGGAGGCAGCAGUGGGGAAUAUUGGACAAUGGGCGCAAGCCUGAUCCAGCCAUGCCGCGUGAGUGAUGAAGGCCUUAGGGUUGUAAAGCUCUUUCACCGAUGAAGAUAAUGACGGUAGUCGGAGAAGAAGCCCCGGCUAACUUCGUG